rnacentral:rRNA from 1 species
GGAAUAUUGGACAAUGGGGGCAACCCUGAUCCAGCAAUGCCGCGUGUGUGAAGAAGGCCUUCGGGUUGUAAAGCACUUUCAUUGAGGAGGAAAAGCUGUGCGUUAAUAGCGUACAGCCGUGACGAUACUCAAAGAAGAAGCACCGGCUAACUCCGUGCCAGCAGCCGCGGUAAUACGGAGGGUGCAAGCGUUAAUCGGAAUUACUGGGCGUAAAGCGCGCGUAGGUGGUUUGAUAAGCGAGAUGUGAAAGCCCCGGGCUUAACCUGGGAACGGCAUUUCGAACUGUCAGGCAAGAGUAUGGUAGAGGAGUGUGGAAUUUCCUGUGUAGCGGUGAAAUGCGUAGAUAUAGGAAGGAACACCAGUGGCGAAGGCGGCACUCUGGACCAAUACUGACACUGAGGUGCGAAAGCGUGGGGAGCA